CAUGCAAGUCGAACGGAAAGGCCCAGCUUGCUGGGUACUCGAGUGGCGAACGGGUGAGUAACACGUGGGUGAUCUGCCCUGGACUCUGGGAUAAGCCUGGGAAACUGGGUCUAAUACCGGAUAGGACCACUGAUUGCAUGGUUGGUGGUGGAAAGCUUUUGCGGUUCAGGAUGGGCCCGCGGCCUAUCAGCUUGUUGGUGGGGUAAUGGCCUACCAAGGCGACGACGGGUAGCCGACCUGAGAGGGUGAUCGGCCACACUGGGACUGAGACACGGCCCAGACUCCUACGGGAGGCAGCAGUGGGGAAUAUUGCACAAUGGGCGCAAGCCUGAUGCAGCGACGCCGCGUGAGGGAUGACGGCCUUCGGGUUGUAAACCUCUUUCGCUAGGGACGAAGCGUAAGUGACGGUACCUGGAGAAGAAGCACCGGCCAACUACGUGCCAGCAGCCGCGGUAAUACGUAGGGUGCGAGCGUUGUCCGGAAUUACUGGGCGUAAAGAGCUCGUAGGCGGUUUGUCGCGUCGUCUGUGAAAUUCUGCAACUCAAUUGCAGGCGUGCAGGCGAUACGGGCAGACUUGAGUACUACAGGGGAGACUGGAAUUCCUGGUGUAGCGGUGAAAUGCGCAGAUAUCAGGAGGAACACCGGUGGCGAAGGCGGGUCUCUGGGUAGUAACUGACGCUGAGGAGCGAAAGCGUGGGGAGCGAACAGGAUUAGAUACCCUGGUAGUCCACGCCGUAAACGGUGGGUACUAGGUGUGGGGCUCAUUUCACGAGUUCCGUGCCGUAGCUAACGCAUUAAGUACCCCGC
rnacentral:rRNA from 1 species